rnacentral:rRNA from 1 species
UACUCAGCAGUAAUUAACAUUAAGCAAUAAGUGAAAACUUGACUUAGCUAUAGCGACCCCCAGGGCCGGUAAAUCUUGUGCCAGCCACCGCGGUCAUACAAGAGGCCCAAACUAAUAGUAAUCGGCGUAAAGUGUGGUAAUAUGUUAUCUAACUAACUAAGACCAAAAUACAACUAAGCUGUCAUAAGCUCAAGAUGCCCCUAAAACCUCCAUAAAUAUGAUCUUAGCAUUCACGACCAAUUUCAACCCACGAAAGCUAAGGCACAAACUGGGAUUAGAUACCCCACUAUGCUUAGCCCUAAAUCCAGAUACUUACCCUACACAAGUAUCCGCCCGAGAA